AUAGAAAUAUAUUCAAACUCUUAAAGUCCAUGCACCACGGAGAGGGAAAAGUGCGAGCCACAAGAAUAUCCACAAACAUGGCGAUUUUGCAGGAGCUUCUGAGAUUUUCGCUUCCACCCCUUCAACAAUCCUCUAAUCGCGCAAAACACAGACAAGCAAAACUCCUGCAUUCAUUCGUCUUCUACCAUCAAUCUCAUUUCGCCAUCUUUGAAUUUUUUUCUCCCAUUCUCCCGCAAUUUUCCUCCAUCGAAUCCAGAUCUGUUACCAACGUCGAUUGUUGCACGUUUGCGAUACUUGAAUUGAUGUUCAAUGUGUGUCCCGUUCCCAUUGAUGAUUUCAAUCCGUUGAAAAUGUACCUGCCUGGUACUGUUGGACGGUGAUUCCUGUUCAGCUUAGGUUAAUACUCAGGAAAUGGGCAUGCCCGAAAACAUAAUUGUUGGUUCUCACGUUUGGGUUGGAGAUCCAGAAUUAGUUUGGAUUGAUGGAGUAGUACUGAAUAUUAAUGGAGAAGAAGCUGAAAUUCAAACCAGCAAUGGAGACAAGGUAGUAUCUCGAUUGUCAAAAUUACAUCCCAAGGAUACAGAUGCUCCUACAGACGGAGUUGAUGAUAUGACCAAGCUUGCUUAUUUGCAUGAGCCAGGAGUGCUGUAUAACUUGGAAACUCGAUACAUGAUCAAUGAAAUAUAUACUUAUUCUGGAAAUAUUCUUAUUGCGAUCAAUCCCUUUCAAAAUCUUCCACACCUGUAUGAAGCUAGUGUAAUGAAAAGAUACAAGGGAGAAAAAAUGGGAAGUUUAAGCCCACAUGUUUUUGCUAUUGCUGAGGCAGCAUAUAGGGCUAUGAUUACUGAGGAGAAGAGCAACUCUAUUCUGGUUAGUGGGGAGAGUGGUGCUGGUAAGACAGAAACAACCAAAAUGCUUAUGCUUUACUUGGCAUAUUUGGGUGGUCACACUGCAUCAGAAGGACGAACUGUUGAACAACAAGUUCUAGAAUCAAACCCAGUUCUUGAAGCAUUUGGUAAUGCCAAAACAGUUAGAAAUGCCAAUUCCAGCCGUUUUGGAAAAUUUGUUGAGAUACAAUUCGAUAAGUAUGGACGAAUAUCCGGUGCAGCUAUUAGAACUUAUCUGCUCGAGAAGUCUCGUGUUUGCCAAAUCUCAGAUCCGGAGCGUAAUUAUCAUUGUUUCUACCUUCUCUGUGCUUCUCCUCCUGAGGAAAAGGAGAAAUUUAAGUUGGGAGAUCCGAGAUCAUUUCAUUACCUUAAUCAGUCCAGUUGCUAUGAGUUAGCUGGUGUUAAUGCUGCUCAAGAGUAUCUUAGCACCAAAAGAGCCAUGGAUAUUGUGGGAAUCAGUCAAGAGGAACAGGGUGCAAUUUUCAGACUUGUUGCUGCUAUUCUCCAUCUUGGAAACAUUAGAUUUUCAAAAUCAGAAGAAACAGAUUCAUCAGUUCUAGCAGAUGAAGAUUCCAUGUUCCAUCUCCAAACAACCGCAGAACUUCUAAUGUGUGAUCCUAAUGCUGUGGAAGUUGCACUUCGUAAGCGUGUGAUGAUCACCCCAGAAGAAAUCAUCGAAAGAAGCCUUGAUCCUCUUGCUGCAACAGUUAGCAGGGACGGUUUGGCAAAGACGUUAUAUUCUCGUUUAUUUGAUUGGUUAGUCCAGAAAAUUAAUAACUCCAUUGGGCAGGAUCCUAACUCAAAAUUUCUCAUUGGUGUUCUUGACAUAUAUGGCUUUGAGAGCUUUCAAACUAAUAGUUUUGAGCAGUUUUGUAUUAAUUUUACGAAUGAAAAGCUGCAGCAGCACUUCAACCAGCAUGUGUUUAAGAUGGAGCAAGAGGAAUACACCAAAGAAGGGAUUGAAUGGAGCUACUUAGAAUUCGUAGAUAAUCAAGAUGUACUAGAUCUCAUUGAAAAGAAACCAGGUGGAGUUGUUGCUCUGCUUGAUGAGGCUUGCAUGUUUCCCAAAUCAACUCAUGAAACAUUUUCACAAAAGCUUUAUCAGACAUUCAAAGAUCACAAACGCUUCAUCAAACCUAAAUUGGCACGCUCAGACUUCACUAUUGUUCAUUAUGCAGGGGAGGUCAAGUAUCAAUCUGAGCACUUCAUAGACAAAAACAAAGACUAUGUUGUUCCCGAACAUCAAGACAUGCUAAGUACUUCUAAAUGUUCAUUUGUAUCUGGCCUUUUUCCUCCACUCUCUGAGGAGACAGCCAAAUCUGCUAAGUUUUCUUCUAUUGGUUCUCGUUUUAAGCUACAAUUACAACAUUUGAUGGAAGCGCUCAAUCUGACAGAGCCCCACUAUAUUAGAUGUGUGAAGCCGAAUAGUCAAUUAAAACCUGGGAUAUUUGAGCAUAUGAACGUCAUGCAUCAAUUACGUUCUGGUGGUGUUCUUGAAGCAGUGAGGAUUAAAUGUGCUGGAUUCCCCACUCACAGGACCUUUCAGGAAUUUUUAACUCGACUAGGCAUUCUUGCUCCAGAGACCAUUCACGGAAACUUCGAAGAAAUGGAAUCAUGUAAAAAGAUUUUAGAGAAGGUUGGGCUGACAGGUUAUCAGAUAGGAAAAACAAAAAUAUUCCUUAGAGCUGGUCAUAUGGCAGAGUUGGAUGCUCGGAGAGCAUACAUGCUUAGCAGUUCUGCAACAAUUAUCCAAAAGCAGACUAAAAGUUAUUUUAGCCGGAAAACAUAUCUUACACUACGAAAGUCCUCUAUCUUUGUACAAUCUAUUUGCAGAGGAGAACUGGCACGAAGACAAUAUUAUCACCUGAAGAGGAAAGCAGCUGCCAUCAAAAUUCAAACCAAUUCACGUGGAAGAUUUGCCAGAAAAUGCUACUUUGAAUUAAGGAUUUCUGCCAUUGUCUUACAGACAGGUUUUCGGGCUAUGGCUGCUCGACAUGCUUGUGAUAAAUUGAGAUAUAGAAAGCAAACUAGGGCAUCAACUAUUAUCCAGUCCUAUUGGCGGCGACAUAAAGCUCUCAUUGACUAUCAGAACCUAAAGAAAGCAUCAGUCAUUUCACGAAGUGUCAAUCACUCCAGCGAUGAACAUGAACAGAAGAUUGCCGAGAUAUCACCGGAAAAUGAAAGUCCUUCCGUGGAAAAAUCUUCAAAUUUAUUACAUGAAGAAUCCUCAAGUUCUUUCCAAGAUAAUGAAAGCAUUGAAGCUAUCAGGAUUUUCUCUAAUCCCCUCAGAGAUACUGAAAGCAAUGAAGCUAGUAUGGAUAUCUCUAGUCCCCUCCGAGACACUGAAAGCAAUGAAGCUAUUAGGGAUUUAUCUAGUCCCCCCAGAGACACUGGAAGCAAUGAAGCUAUUAGGGAUUUAUCUAGUCCCCUCAGAGACACUGAAAGCAAUGAAGCUACUAGUGAUUUAUCUAGUUCCCUCAGAGACACUGAAAAGAUUGAGGCUCUUUCUGCAGAAAUAAAAAAUUUAAAGGUCAUGUUGAAGGAAGAAAAACAAAAAACUGAUGAAUAUGAAAGGAAAUAUGUAGAAGCUCAAGGAUCUAGUGAAGAGUUACGCAAAAAGUUAUCCGAAACUGAAAAAAGAGUAUAUCAGCUUCAGGACUCAUUGAACAGUGUGUAUCAGGAUGAUAUCUUCCAUGUCAAGUCAAGUUGCCGAGCUGAAGACGAUCUUAAGUACUUCAUCAAGGUUGAGUUCAACUUUUCGGCCUAUUGCUAGAGUUGAUGUUGCUUCCAGUAACUCUGAUAGUUCAUCUACAGACUCUGAUUUCACAUUUCCUGCACCUGUUUCAAAUCCAGAACCAGUGUCUUCUGCCGACUCAAACGCUUUUCAACUAGUAGUUCAGGAUAUUACUGCCGGUGAAGAAUCAGGAUCUGAAAGUGAAAAAGAAGGUUCGUUUGAUGAUUUCUUUUAGUAAAAUGUAUGUUUCUUCGAUCUGGCUUAAAUUUUCAUUUCCUCUAGUCUCUGGGGAAACAUCGAAGAAAGACAGAGAAAGGGAUGGAUGUGGAAUUGGAUACGCACAAUCACUCCUUCUGUUACACACCCUGCGUACAAAUUUGUAGAUACAAGGUUCAUCCCAGGAGUCUGUAGAUCAGUGAGGUAGAGAUAGCAAUAAGAGUCAACCAAUGAUGAACUUGUUGAUCCGUGUUUCGUCUUGUUGUCAUUGUUCUGAGUAAAAAUCUUACUAGAUUCAUUAAAAAAAAACAAAAUCUUCUUAGAUAUCCAAACUGACACUUAUUGUGACAAUUUUGUAUAUAACAAAUUUUAUAGUUUAAUUUCCCUUGUUGUAAUGCCAUCUAUACAGCGCUUCAUCUUGAUAUCAUUUCCCCUUAGACGACAUUGCCAACUGAAUUGAUUCUUGUCCCUGGAUUUAUAUUGGGUAGAAUUUUCUGGCUUUCUU